rnacentral:rRNA from 1 species
UACGUAGGCAGCGAGCGUUGUUCGGAAUUAUUGGGCGUAAAGCGUACGUAGGCGGUGUCUUAAGUUUGUUGUGAAAUCUCCCGGCUUAACCGGGAGGGUGCGGCGAAUACUGAGAUGCUGGAGUGCCGGAGAGGUAAGCGGAAUUCCUGGUAUAGCGGUGAAAUGCGUAGAUAUCAGGAGGAACACCUGCGGUGUAGACGGCUUACUGGACGGUAACUGACGCUGAGGCACGAAAGCGUGGGUAGCAAACAGG